rnacentral:lncRNA from 1 species
AGGCAUCCUCCCUUGGCUGCUUAGCAUUGAACAUGUCAUGGCAGCACACCCAACAGUGCAGAAUACGGAGCUGCUCGCGAGGUGGGUUUCCUCCAAUGUCUCCACCAGUGCUUCUGACGGCAGGCAGCGUUGAAUACAUUCCCCAAGGGAAGUUCCGUUGGCGACGCAAGUCGUUACGCAAAAAGUAUACCCAAGUCCAAUCGGGACAAGUGCUGUAACAGCUUGACGCGAGGGACUAACAAGGAUCAACAACAGCAAACAGAACAUCAACGCCAAUGAUUUCCCCCCCAUUAUGUAUAUAUUUGAUUUGAUUUGAUAAUGAUUUUUUUGCACUGCUUGAUAUCGGUGUUAUAUACACUUUGAUUGUCAUGCCAAACUACCAAACUGCCUAAUUAAGAUGCCAAACUAUAAUGCCAAAAUUUGAUUGAAUGCAAAAUUAAAAGAACAUUUCUAUAAGUAAUCAAAAUAAUUUGAAAUGAAUUUGUCAUGCCAAACUACAUGGAAAAUGUCUAAUGUCUUGUCCUUUUUUUAGAAUUCUUCCUAAUAAUCUAAAUUCUUCCUAACCAUCCCAAAUAUUCUGAUUGUCAAUGUUCUUUCUCAGAUGUCAUGAAUCACAAAUGAACACUAAACCUUUAACUUCAUAUUUUAAACAUUAACAUCGAAGUAAACACUUAAACCGUGCAAAUAAAAUCUUGAUUCUCACCUUCACAGUGACUGUAUCCAUCUCCUUUGAUUUGCUCGCUAUCAACCAAGAGACAUUCACAAACUCUUCCUCGAAAUGUAUCUUAAGAAGAAAAUCAAUAUAUUCAAAUAAGCUCAUGGAGUAGAGAAUCCCUAUCAAAUCUGUUUCGAUUCAUACCCUGCAGGCUGUGAGAUUUGCUGCUUUUUCUUGCCAACAACCACCAUCAUUUUCCAAGCAUUCAUUCGUCUCCACAUCUGUGAAAAAAGUAACCGCCAUCACUGGUGUUUCAAAUAACAACUGGACAGUAAGUUGAAACACUACACUGGAUUUCUAAAAGCCUAGCUCUCGCCUAUGUUACUUAGUGUGAGAGUUGGAUAAGACAUAUGUCUGACAUGGACAUGUGCAAGUUGUUCUUCAUUUUCCCUGUAUUCAGAGUGUUUUUGGAGGGUCACAUCCCCAUACUCGUCUAUGAAAACGUGUCAGACACGGGUUCUCAAGAGAGGUAAAGAGUCAGCACCCCUAAGUGGAACCAGACUAAAAUACUUCUCUUGCAAGAAAAAUAAAACAAGACAAACUCACCACCACUCGAACAAACAGCUGGUUCAGUAGUCUCCUCGAAGCCGGCACAUAUGGCCUUCAAAACAGCACCUUUGGCCAGCUUUCCUGCAUGCAGAUAUGUUAAACGCGGAAAGCACCCAAAAUUUUAUCUGGGAAAUACGGGUAUAAAUACGAACCUCGAUAUUGGCGAUUGUUGACAACAAGUCUAGGCAAUAUGGUAACAUCUCCUCUAGAUCCUUUCCCCGCCUAUGAAAAUGUUUCUAUUAAAUAGCCUCAAAAAGGUCAAAGAAGACAACGAAUUGGAAAAAGAGUAGUGAAACAUAAAAUAUCUUAGCCUGAGAGGACUACUUGAGCAUCUUGUUCUUCUUCCAGAACAGGAUUCUCCAUAUCAGCAUCUGGAUCUCCCAAACACUUUUCGAUCUUUUUAGCGUCAAGCCCUGAAUGGAUGACAAAGGAAUAUCAUCAAUUUAUUACUAGUUUCCAGCAAGAUUUUGAGUUUUCACUGUGCUAUUAAUACUAACAGAAAUUUGAAGAUAAACCGAGGAUCUUCCAAUUAACUGUUUACCAAGAGAUUUGAUAACACCGUCUGCACAUUCCUUAUUAUAUCUUUUCUACUUCAUUGGCCAUCUUAUUUCAAAAUCAGUCACAUAGUCCCACCACACCCAAGGCCUAUUGGUCUCAUUUGCCACUUUGAAAACGCAAAGCUGCCUUAAGGUCUCAAUAACUACAUCUUUCCCUUCAUAACCUGAGCUAAAACCUUGUUCAGGAUCCGGUGCACAGUAUCUUCCGCGGUUGAUGCAUUGAGAUAUGCACUGCCGGCUUAGGGUGAAAGCUUGAGGGCAGUACCAAGUUAUAUAAUGGGGUGUGAACUGCGUAUAGCCACCUUUUUCGAGAAUCUUAGCAGCACCCUUGAAAUCCUUCACAAAUGCCAUCAGCAUAUCGCAUUUAACUCCACAUUCAUCAUUGCUCUUGGUCCAUAACUCGUACUCGUCACGAUCAUCAGGGUUAGAGUUUCACCAGAAGUUUUCUCGAUAAGGGCAGAUGAACUGUCCUCUUCGCGAUUGUCCCUGGUUAUUAAUGCUUCUUCUAUGUCAUCCGCAACAAGCACUGCAGAAGCACUGCUUGCCAUACAUUCCAAAUCUUUAAAGCAAAGAAGCAAUCUGGAGAAAUAAUAAGAAAAAAGGCGCUAAAUGCAGUCUCCGCAAAUAUAUAUAUAUAUCAAAAACUAAAGAAAAAUUACAUCUAAGACCAUAACUCAAUCAAGGACAAUAAGCAAAUUUUACAACCUUGGCAGCAACUGGAGUCCGUAUAUAGGCAACACUUCAGAUUUUUCUCAUCUCUUUAACAGUGUAAUCACAUUAUAGUAAUGUAACUGAAUUAUCUAAUCCGGAAGUAACUAUAAGCCAUUACUACCUAAUGCUUAGAUCAACCAGCAUUCUGAACCUCAUUUUUAUCACCAUACAUCUGUUUGAGAACCAACCAAACUCAAAUCGUACACUCUAAAUCUAUGUUCACUCGGACUCGGGUAUGAGUUUCAAAUGUAGGCACAUGUUUGAGACGGAUAUGUUAGUUUUGGUUUUUCAUGUAUCUGGAGGAUCUUUGAAAAGUCAUGUGUCGCCCAUAUGCAUGUUCGGAUAUUGAGUCUAGAACGGGUACUUCAGACGGAUAUCCAGAGGAUCAUUAACAGCAUAAUCGCGUUGCAGUAAUGUAACUGAAUUAUCUAAUCCGGAGGUAACUAUAAGCCAUUACUACGAAAUGCUUAGAUCACCAUUAUUUUGAAACUCGUUUUUAUUAUCAUCCAUCUGUUUAAGAACCAACCAAACUCAAAUCAUACACUCUAAAUCUCUGUUUACUCCGACUUGGGUAUGAGUUUCAAAUAAAGGUAUGUGUUUGACACUGAUAUAUUCAAUUUUUCUUCAUGUACCUAGGGGAUCUUUGAGAAGACAUAUCACCGCACACAUGUUCAGAUAUUGAGUCCAAAACCGGUACUUCAAGCAAAACUGAGACUCAGAGAAACUUAGCUCUAAACCACUUUAUCCAUACUGGAGAAAACUAUACGCCAUUACUACGAAAUUCUUAGAUAACCAGCAUUUUGAAAUUCAUUUUUAUUAUCAUACAUCUGCCUUGAGAACCAACCCAACCCAAAGCAUAUAUGUUCACUUGGACUCUGGGUGUGAGUUUCAAAUACAGGUAUGUGUUUGACACGGAUAUAUUCAAAUUUUUGUUCAUGUACCUAGAAGGAUCUUUGAAAAAUCAGAUCACCGUACACAUGUUCGGAUAUUGAGUCUAAAACUGGUACUUAAAGCAAAACCAAGAAUCUGAGAAACUUAGCUCUACUUUUGUAGACACCUCUAAGGCUACAUCCCUAUGAAAGGAGGGAAAUGAAGCUAAAUGAAUGGACCUAAUUUCAGAAAACAACUAGUAAGAUAAAAAGAGAGAAAGACAUCCGUCCAAACAACUUAAAGCAAAGCUGAAAACAAGUAAAUUAAUUCAUAAAUGAACGGAUAAAUAUAUAAAUAAUGAUAAUGAAAUCAAUGGAAACUGAUAAACCUAAAUUUAUUUAAAUGAAUUAGUUAAAAUAUAAUAACAUAAAUCCAAGUAGAUGGAAAAACCAAAUCUAUUAACCCUCAAAUCCCAAACUAUCAAAUAGAUUAUUGCCCCAUAAAUAAACCAAAUCCAACAAAUUGAACUUUAAACCUACUAUUUAAAUUCCCCAAUUUGGAAUUACUCAAAUUAGCUAAAACAACACAAAAAUUCCUCAUUGAUCAACCCUACAACAAACAAAUUAUAGCUCAAAUAAACAAAACCAUAGAUUAAUUUUUCUUAGAAGGCGAAAAUUUUGAAAAAAAGAAGAAGAAAAGUGUACCUCCACGAUCGACCAGAACAUAGGUAGGAAGAGAACCAGGCUUGGAUAUAACCGAAAUCCCAAAGUCAUCAAAACCUUUACAAGCUUUUCGGUUUUCUUCAGGGUAAACCACAACACCAGCCAUGCUUCCACCACAUUGAGGUAUCCCAAAGUUCCCAAUCGCACUAUCAUGGGUUGCUUUAAUCUUCUCCGGCGAUGUUACCGCCAAGCUCUUCUUUUCCACCACGAAUCUCGCGUAACAAUUGCGUAUCAAAGAUAAUAAAAUAAACACUUGAGGAAGAUGAUGAUGAUGGAAUGUUCGUAGCUCCAUAUCUUUACUUUUGGUUUUGGAUUUGGAUUGGAUCAGUUUUAAGGACGAUACUGAUGAAGAAGAUGAAGAUCGUGUAUGAAAAACAUGUAAAAUGAAAUGGUUUUUUUGAAAAAAAUAAAAACAGUGAAAAUCGCCAUUAAAUAAUUCUAUGAUUCUUUUAUUUGUUUUAAAUGAAUUUAGAACACAGUUAGUGAAAUUUUGACACGCUACUAAUAAAUAAUCUUAGUCAUUUAUAGAUUAAACAUUUUUCUUUUUUUUAAACAGUGCAAUGAGACCAAAUCCAGUCAUCUGAAGUAAACUUAAUGGGUUUAUGUUUUUCUUAGCCCCUAAAUUUUCACCUACCGUUUAAUUUAGUACAUGUUAAAAAAAAUCCAAUUUAGUCAUUUGUAUUAUACGUGACGGUCUUCUACAUAUACGAAGUCGUUUAAGUUUCGUUCCGGUGAAGAUUUCAAUAUGCUUAGCAUGUUCCAAAGUCCUUUGGCCCAUUCUAGCCAGUAUCGGCCCGUAUCAAUUGGUACAAAAUUUUGAUAUUUAAACUUAUCUUUUAAUUUUUUAUCUUAAACAUUUUAACUUUUUAUAACUACGUUUAAAAUUAAAAUAAACUGAAGCUAUUGAACCAAUUAAUAGAUUUAAAACUUAUUUUUACAUAUAGAUAGAUGUAAUUGAAAUAUAUCAAGAAAUUUUUCGAUGCAUUUAGCACAUAAAAUCCUCCAAAAAAUAAGGAAAACAGUUAAAUAAUAUAACAUGAAGGAUUCAACAAAAACAACCAACAAGGAACAUCACAUUAUUCUUGGAUAACGGCAAUAAUUGUAUCAUUACUGAUUAUCAUCAGUUCUUCAUGGCGCAUCUCUCUAUGCAGGUAUUGACGCAGCCGACAACUUCCUUUGAAGCUGACAAAAACAAAACAAAUCAUUAAGUUAAUAUACGUACUUACUUACCAUCAAAUAUUAAUAUAAAACGGAAAAAGAAAAAUUACCAGGCAUCCUCCCUUGGCUGCUUAGCAUUGAACAUGUCAUGGCAGCACACCCAACAGUGCAGAAUACGGAGCUGCUCGCGAGGUGGGUUUCCUCCAAUGUCUCCACCAGUGCUUCUGACGGCAGGCAGCGUUGAAUACAUUCCCCAAGGGAAGUUCCGUUGGCGACGCAAGUCGUUACGCAAAAAGUAUACCCAAGUCCAAUCGGGACAAGUGCUGUAACAGCUUGACGCGAGGGACUAACAAGGAUCAACAACAGCAAACAGAACAUCAACGCCAAUGAUUUCCCCCCCAUUAUGUAUAUAUUUGAUUUGAUUUGAUAAUGAUUUUUUUGCACUGCUUGAUAUCGGUGUUAUAUACACUUUGAUUGUCAUGCCAAACUACCAAACUGCCUAAUUAAGAUGCCAAACUAUAAUGCCAAAAUUUGAUUGAAUGCAAAAUUAAAAGAACAUUUCUAUAAGUAAUCAAAAUAAUUUGAAAUGAAUUUGUCAUGCCAAACUACAUGGAAAAUGUCUAAUGUCUUGUCCUUUUUUUAGAAUUCUUCCUAAUAAUCUAAAUUCUUCCUAACCAUCCCAAAUAUUCUGAUUGUCAAUGUUCUUUCUCAGAUGUCAUGAAUCACAAAUGAACACUAAACCUUUAACUUCAUAUUUUAAACAUUAACAUCGAAGUAAACACUUAAACCGUGCAAAUAAAAUCUUGAUUCUCACCUUCACAGUGACUGUAUCCAUCUCCUUUGAUUUGCUCGCUAUCAACCAAGAGACAUUCACAAACUCUUCCUCGAAAUGUAUCUUAAGAAGAAAAUCAAUAUAUUCAAAUAAGCUCAUGGAGUAGAGAAUCCCUAUCAAAUCUGUUUCGAUUCAUACCCUGCAGGCUGUGAGAUUUGCUGCUUUUUCUUGCCAACAACCACCAUCAUUUUCCAAGCAUUCAUUCGUCUCCACAUCUGUGAAAAAAGUAACCGCCAUCACUGGUGUUUCAAAUAACAACUGGACAGUAAGUUGAAACACUACACUGGAUUUCUAAAAGCCUAGCUCUCGCCUAUGUUACUUAGUGUGAGAGUUGGAUAAGACAUAUGUCUGACAUGGACAUGUGCAAGUUGUUCUUCAUUUUCCCUGUAUUCAGAGUGUUUUUGGAGGGUCACAUCCCCAUACUCGUCUAUGAAAACGUGUCAGACACGGGUUCUCAAGAGAGGUAAAGAGUCAGCACCCCUAAGUGGAACCAGACUAAAAUACUUCUCUUGCAAGAAAAAUAAAACAAGACAAACUCACCACCACUCGAACAAACAGCUGGUUCAGUAGUCUCCUCGAAGCCGGCACAUAUGGCCUUCAAAACAGCACCUUUGGCCAGCUUUCCUGCAUGCAGAUAUGUUAAACGCGGAAAGCACCCAAAAUUUUAUCUGGGAAAUACGGGUAUAAAUACGAACCUCGAUAUUGGCGAUUGUUGACAACAAGUCUAGGCAAUAUGGUAACAUCUCCUCUAGAUCCUUUCCCCGCCUAUGAAAAUGUUUCUAUUAAAUAGCCUCAAAAAGGUCAAAGAAGACAACGAAUUGGAAAAAGAGUAGUGAAACAUAAAAUAUCUUAGCCUGAGAGGACUACUUGAGCAUCUUGUUCUUCUUCCAGAACAGGAUUCUCCAUAUCAGCAUCUGGAUCUCCCAAACACUUUUCGAUCUUUUUAGCGUCAAGCCCUGAAUGGAUGACAAAGGAAUAUCAUCAAUUUAUUACUAGUUUCCAGCAAGAUUUUGAGUUUUCACUGUGCUAUUAAUACUAACAGAAAUUUGAAGAUAAACCGAGGAUCUUCCAAUUAACUGUUUACCAAGAGAUUUGAUAACACCGUCUGCACAUUCCUUAUUAUAUCUUUUCUACUUCAUUGGCCAUCUUAUUUCAAAAUCAGUCACAUAGUCCCACCACACCCAAGGCCUAUUGGUCUCAUUUGCCACUUUGAAAACGCAAAGCUGCCUUAAGGUCUCAAUAACUACAUCUUUCCCUUCAUAACCUGAGCUAAAACCUUGUUCAGGAUCCGGUGCACAGUAUCUUCCGCGGUUGAUGCAUUGAGAUAUGCACUGCCGGCUUAGGGUGAAAGCUUGAGGGCAGUACCAAGUUAUAUAAUGGGGUGUGAACUGCGUAUAGCCACCUUUUUCGAGAAUCUUAGCAGCACCCUUGAAAUCCUUCACAAAUGCCAUCAGCAUAUCGCAUUUAACUCCACAUUCAUCAUUGCUCUUGGUCCAUAACUCGUACUCGUCACGAUCAUCAGGGUUAGAGUUUCACCAGAAGUUUUCUCGAUAAGGGCAGAUGAACUGUCCUCUUCGCGAUUGUCCCUGGUUAUUAAUGCUUCUUCUAUGUCAUCCGCAACAAGCACUGCAGAAGCACUGCUUGCCAUACAUUCCAAAUCUUUAAAGCAAAGAAGCAAUCUGGAGAAAUAAUAAGAAAAAAGGCGCUAAAUGCAGUCUCCGCAAAUAUAUAUAUAUAUCAAAAACUAAAGAAAAAUUACAUCUAAGACCAUAACUCAAUCAAGGACAAUAAGCAAAUUUUACAACCUUGGCAGCAACUGGAGUCCGUAUAUAGGCAACACUUCAGAUUUUUCUCAUCUCUUUAACAGUGUAAUCACAUUAUAGUAAUGUAACUGAAUUAUCUAAUCCGGAAGUAACUAUAAGCCAUUACUACCUAAUGCUUAGAUCAACCAGCAUUCUGAACCUCAUUUUUAUCACCAUACAUCUGUUUGAGAACCAACCAAACUCAAAUCGUACACUCUAAAUCUAUGUUCACUCGGACUCGGGUAUGAGUUUCAAAUGUAGGCACAUGUUUGAGACGGAUAUGUUAGUUUUGGUUUUUCAUGUAUCUGGAGGAUCUUUGAAAAGUCAUGUGUCGCCCAUAUGCAUGUUCGGAUAUUGAGUCUAGAACGGGUACUUCAGACGGAUAUCCAGAGGAUCAUUAACAGCAUAAUCGCGUUGCAGUAAUGUAACUGAAUUAUCUAAUCCGGAGGUAACUAUAAGCCAUUACUACGAAAUGCUUAGAUCACCAUUAUUUUGAAACUCGUUUUUAUUAUCAUCCAUCUGUUUAAGAACCAACCAAACUCAAAUCAUACACUCUAAAUCUCUGUUUACUCCGACUUGGGUAUGAGUUUCAAAUAAAGGUAUGUGUUUGACACUGAUAUAUUCAAUUUUUCUUCAUGUACCUAGGGGAUCUUUGAGAAGACAUAUCACCGCACACAUGUUCAGAUAUUGAGUCCAAAACCGGUACUUCAAGCAAAACUGAGACUCAGAGAAACUUAGCUCUAAACCACUUUAUCCAUACUGGAGAAAACUAUACGCCAUUACUACGAAAUUCUUAGAUAACCAGCAUUUUGAAAUUCAUUUUUAUUAUCAUACAUCUGCCUUGAGAACCAACCCAACCCAAAGCAUAUAUGUUCACUUGGACUCUGGGUGUGAGUUUCAAAUACAGGUAUGUGUUUGACACGGAUAUAUUCAAAUUUUUGUUCAUGUACCUAGAAGGAUCUUUGAAAAAUCAGAUCACCGUACACAUGUUCGGAUAUUGAGUCUAAAACUGGUACUUAAAGCAAAACCAAGAAUCUGAGAAACUUAGCUCUACUUUUGUAGACACCUCUAAGGCUACAUCCCUAUGAAAGGAGGGAAAUGAAGCUAAAUGAAUGGACCUAAUUUCAGAAAACAACUAGUAAGAUAAAAAGAGAGAAAGACAUCCGUCCAAACAACUUAAAGCAAAGCUGAAAACAAGUAAAUUAAUUCAUAAAUGAACGGAUAAAUAUAUAAAUAAUGAUAAUGAAAUCAAUGGAAACUGAUAAACCUAAAUUUAUUUAAAUGAAUUAGUUAAAAUAUAAUAACAUAAAUCCAAGUAGAUGGAAAAACCAAAUCUAUUAACCCUCAAAUCCCAAACUAUCAAAUAGAUUAUUGCCCCAUAAAUAAACCAAAUCCAACAAAUUGAACUUUAAACCUACUAUUUAAAUUCCCCAAUUUGGAAUUACUCAAAUUAGCUAAAACAACACAAAAAUUCCUCAUUGAUCAACCCUACAACAAACAAAUUAUAGCUCAAAUAAACAAAACCAUAGAUUAAUUUUUCUUAGAAGGCGAAAAUUUUGAAAAAAAGAAGAAGAAAAGUGUACCUCCACGAUCGACCAGAACAUAGGUAGGAAGAGAACCAGGCUUGGAUAUAACCGAAAUCCCAAAGUCAUCAAAACCUUUACAAGCUUUUCGGUUUUCUUCAGGGUAAACCACAACACCAGCCAUGCUUCCACCACAUUGAGGUAUCCCAAAGUUCCCAAUCGCACUAUCAUGGGUUGCUUUAAUCUUCUCCGGCGAUGUUACCGCCAAGCUCUUCUUUUCCACCACGAAUCUCGCGUAACAAUUGCGUAUCAAAGAUAAUAAAAUAAACACUUGAGGAAGAUGAUGAUGAUGGAAUGUUCGUAGCUCCAUAUCUUUACUUUUGGUUUUGGAUUUGGAUUGGAUCAGUUUUAAGGACGAUACUGAUGAAGAAGAUGAAGAUCGUGUAUGAAAAACAUGUAAAAUGAAAUGGUUUUUUUGAAAAAAAUAAAAACAGUGAAAAUCGCCAUUAAAUAAUUCUAUGAUUCUUUUAUUUGUUUUAAAUGAAUUUAGAACACAGUUAGUGAAAUUUUGACACGCUACUAAUAAAUAAUCUUAGUCAUUUAUAGAUUAAACAUUUUUCUUUUUUUUAAACAGUGCAAUGAGACCAAAUCCAGUCAUCUGAAGUAAACUUAAUGGGUUUAUGUUUUUCUUAGCCCCCAAAUUUUCACCUACCGUGUAAUUUAGUACAUGUUAAAAAAAUCCAAUUUAGUCAUUUGUAUUAUACGUGACGGUCUUCUACAUAUACGAAGUCGUUUAAGUUUCGUUCCGGUGAAGAUUUCAAUAUGCUUCGCAUGUUCCAAAGUCCUUUGGCCCAUUCUAGCCAGUAUCGGCCCGUAUCAAUUGGUACAAAAUUUUGAUAUUUAAACUUAUCUUUUAAUUUUUUAUCUUAAACAUUUUAACUUUUUAUAACUACGUUUAAAAUUAAAAUAAACUGAAGCUAUUGAACCAAUUAAUAGAUUUAAAACUUAUUUUUACAUAUAGAUAGAUGUCAUUGAAAUAUAUCAAGAAAAUUUUCGGUGCAUUUAGCACAUAAAAUCCUCCAAAAAUAAGGAAAACAGUUAAAUAAUAUAACAUGAAGGAUUCAACAAAAACAACAAAGGAACAUCACAUUAUUCUUGGAUAACGGCAAUAAUUGUAUCAUUACUGAUUAUCAUCAGUUCUUCAUGGCGCAUCUCUCUAUGCAGGUAUUGACGCAGCCGACAACUUCCUUUGAAGCUGACAAAAACAAAACAAAUCAUUAAGUUAAUAUACGUACUUACUUACCAUCAAAUAUUAAUAUAAAACGGAAAAAGAAAAAUUACCAGGCAUCCUCCCUUGGCUGCUUAGCAUUGAACAUGUCAUGGCAGCACACCCAACAGUGCAGAAUACGGAGCUGCUCGCGAGGUGGGUUUCCUCCAAUGUCUCCACCAGUGCUUCUGACGGCAGGCAGCGUUGAAUACAUUCCCCAAGGGAAGUUCCGUUGGCGACGCAAGUCGUUACGCAAAAAGUAUACCCAAGUCCAAUCGGGACAAGUGCUGUAACAGCUUGACGCGAG